rnacentral:rRNA from 1 species
UACAAAAGGUGCGAGCGUUGUCCGGAAUUAUUGGGCGUAAAGAGCUCGUAGGCGGUCUGUCGCGUCGGAUGUGAAAGCCCGGGGCUUAACCCCGGGUCUGCAUUCGAUACGGGCAGACUAGAGUGUGGUAGGGGAGAUCGGAAUUCCUGGUGUAGCGGUGAAAUGCGCAGAUAUCAGGAGGAACACCGGUGGCGAAGGCGGAUCUCUGGGCCAUUACUGACGCUGAGGAGCGAAAGCGUGGGGAGCGAACAGG